UAAACAAGGAUCUCUGAAUAUGUUUCAAGUAUAGAGGAUCAUCUUUAUAAUAAAUAUACCUUGUAUCUUAAUGAACCAUCACAAAGUUUCACUGGACCCUUACUACAGCUCUGGGAGGGCGUUGUAAUUAAGGAACAACCAUGCACAUCAAGUCCAGGCUUCAGCACAAGCACAGAUAAGUUGUCUGUGGCCUCUGCAGGUGCCACUCUGCACAGCCAGCCCCGGAGAGCUCAAAUCUAAUCUGCACAGAAAUCCUUGGAACAAGUGCUGCUCCAGGCAUGUUUGAAGUUCAGAGGAAAACUGAGAUGGCUGCUGCAGUUCCAGCCCUCAAAUCAGCACCCCAAAGAAAAGCAUCACUUCUGGAAGCUGGGCCAGAAGAUCGAAGAAGAAUGUUUCUUUGAUGCAUCUUAUUGACCAAAAUUGGGCCACAUGCCUGUUCCUGAGCCAUCACCAGGAAAGAAGUGGAAAAGCACAUUGCUCAGGGCCAGAGAGAGUGUCAGCUUUCCUCAAGGUAUCUGGACUGGGUGAGAAAGAGACGGCCAAAGAGGUGUGUUAGGAAAAGAAAGGGGAUCUGUGCUGGGUAGGCCACCAGCAGCAUAGUUUAUGAGAUGUGACUGAAACAAGCAAUAGCCAUUAUACCUCUCAGUUCCUAAAAGACAAACGGAAAUAAAAUAGCUAAUAAGCGUC